AUUAUUCAAGAGGAAAGUCCGGGCUCCAUAGAGCAAGAGGAUAGCUAACGGCUAUUGGAAGUAAUUCUAAGGAAAGUGCAACAGAAAACAAACCGCCAGAAAUGGUAAGGGUGAAAAGGCAGUGUAAGAGACUACCAAAUUUUUAGGGAACUAAAAAUGUUUUGUAAACCCCCUCUGGAGCAAGACUAAGAAAGAAAGGUUAAGGGCUGCUCGUCCACUUUCAUGGUAAGUUGCUUGAACUUAUAAGUGAUUGUAAGUCUAGAUAAAUAAUUAACUGAUACAAAACCCGGCUUAUGUA
rnacentral:RNase_P_RNA from 1 species